CUCCUGAUAUUCUUUAAUCGAGCUUGUUUAUCACGUCUGUUGACGUGAGUAGUUAGUUUUUAUAUUUGCAAUUCAGUCUUUAAUACCCUUCUCUCCUUUUCUUCUAGUAUCGACCAAUUUCUCGCUUGCUCUCUUUGUGGCUGUUCAAAUUUUUCUGAAAACAUGUCUUCCGAAGUUUCUGCCAUUGGUUUCGAAGGUUUUGAAAAGAGGCUGGAAAUAUCGUUUUUCGAGCCAAGUUUCUUUGCUGACCCUGAAGGAAAGGGUUUACGUGUCCUUUCCAAAAACCAACUCGAUGAGUUUUUAGGACCUGCUGAAUGCACUAUCGUUGCGUCAUUGUCCAAUGAGCAUGUUGACUCCUACGUUCUCUCUGAGUCUAGCCUAUUUGUUUAUGCUUACAAGAUAAUCAUAAAAACUUGCGG
rnacentral:lncRNA from 1 species